rnacentral:rRNA from 1 species
UACGUAGGUGUCAAGCGUUGUCCGGAUUUACUGGGCGUAAAGCGCACGUAGGCGGCUUAGCAAGUCGGAUGUGAAAGCCCUCGGCUCAACCAAGGAAGUGCAUCCGAAACUGCUGAGCUUGAGUACUUAAGAGGAUCGCGGAAUUCCUAGUGUAGAGGUGAAAUUCGUAGAUAUUAGGAAGAACACCGGUGGCGGAAGGCGGCCCCACUGGAUCGGUACUGACGCUGAGGUGCGAAAGCGUGGGGAGCAAACAGG